rnacentral:rRNA from 1 species
CGGAGCAAAACUCUAAAACCGGUCCCAGUUCGGAUUGCAGGCUGCAACUCGCCUGCAUGAAGUUGGAGUUGCUAGUAAUCGCGGAUCAGAAUGCCGCGGUGAAUGCGUUCCCGGGUCUUGUACACACCGCCCGUCACACCAUGGAAGUUGGGGGCGCCCGAAGUUGGUCAAGAAGAGAUUACCUAAGGCGAAACCAAUGACUGGGGUGAAGUCGUAACAAGGUACC